AAGUUUCAACAGCUGCUGCAACCGGCUGCUUGGUUACACAAUGAAAAAUAAUUUCUGAUCUCUGAAUCUCUUUGUCUUUGUUUCUCCACCGCUGUCCAGACCACCUCUAAUAACAUCCAGGCCAUAGCGGGGAGACCUGAAGAGAAAAACAUAAACAAAGGUGUGUUUGUGCUGCAGCUGGGAAACACCUGCUGAGCUGCCUGGAUGACCUUAACAUACCUGCACCUGAUCACUGAGGCUCCAAGUGUAGGACAUGUUCUUGCUGGCGUCCAUGGGGUCGGCUGGUGGAGGGGUGUCUCACAUCUCUGGAGUCCCACAUCAGACGGAUCUACGGUAACAUGAUCAACCAAAAGCUACAUGUACAGAUGUUUAAAGGGGACAUGAAGUCGGAC
rnacentral:lncRNA from 1 species